UAUGUUUUGCAAGUAUUUUUAUUACUUGUUAAAUGAGUUGAUCAACAAAGCUGUUUAUCAUUAUUUGCCAGCGGUGAUUUAAGGUUAGAUCGGCAACAUUCAUAAAUUAUAUUCUAGUCAUGAUCCAAAGAUAAUGAAACGUACUUCGGAAGAGGGCGUGUUUUUACUCAGGGAGUACUUGGUUUGAAAAAUAUCACGCAUAUUCGUUUACGUAUAUGAUUUGGGUCAAUACAGAGUCUUUUUCAACGAGAGAAAAAUUUAUAUAUGAGAAGCUGAGAAAAACUUAUAAUUUCCAGUUGUGACAGAGACAGACGUAAAAUGAGGGACGCUGUGAUUCUAGGCGUUUUCUGUGUUUUCAUGUUAUCUACCGUCAUCUCCAAGCCAGCAGCGGAUCAUAACGGUGUUGCAAAAGAAUCAUGCGGCUGCGAGCAUCACGCCACGCAUGCACACGGUAUGGGUCUCUGGGACGUGUGCACACCUCUCAGUCAGGAAGAGUGGGAGACAUGUCCAGCUUACAAGGACAGCGUGGUGGACAGUGACCUGCUUCAUAACAUACUGGACAUAAUCUUUAAGACAGAGGAUUAAUUGAUAUUGCGCAAGAUGGCCAACCGCUUGUAUUUAAAUCUGUGAAAUGAAGGUAAUCUGGUGUUGCACUCAAAUACAUGCGCAGUACAUGAACAUGAAAAUUAAGUCAAAACAUGCUUAAUUGGACUCGGAGAAUUGUUAUAUUUGUGAUACACCGCACUGGUGAAAUGUGAACUGGAUAGCUCCUCUGGAUGUGCUACUUUUCAAUCCCCAAAAACAUAAUUUAAUACAUAAAAUAAAAGCGGGGACUG